rnacentral:rRNA from 1 species
UCCGUAGGCGGGCAGCUCAGUCAGUGGUGAAAGUUUGCAGCUCAACUGUAAAAUUGCCAUUGAUACUGGUUGUCUUGAAUUAAUGUGAAGUGGUUAGAAUAUGUAGUGUAGCGGUGAAAUGCAUAGAUAUUACAUGGAAUACCAAUUGCGAAGGCAGAUCACUAACAUUAUAUUGACGCUGAGGGACGAAAGCGUGGGGAGCGAACAGGAUUAGAUACCCUGGUAGUCC